AUGUAUUGGAGAUGCCAGUACCAUGUGAUAAUCACCAAGAACCGCAGCUGCAGUGUAGUGGAUCAAUCUGAACUUAAAAUGCCAUGGAGGACAGAGCUGGAAAAUAACCUGAACUGGAAACAGAGUGGGGGAACUGAGUGGACCAAGGAAGAUGAAAUCAAUCUCAUCCUCAGGAUAGCUGAGCUUGAUGUAGCUGAUGAAAAUGACAUAAACUGGGAUCUUCUAGCUGAGGGAUGGAGCAGUGUUCGUUCACCACAGUGGCUUCGAAGUAAAUGGUGGACCAUCAAAAGGCAAAUCGCAAACCAUAAGGAUGUUUCGUUUCGUGCUUCAACAGACUCCCCUGUUGCUUCUGUUGACUCAGAAACAAUAACACUAAACAGUGGAACACUACAAACAUUUGAGAUUCUUCCAUCUUUCCAUUUACAGCCUACUGGUACUCCAGGCACCUACCUUCUUCAAACAAGCUCAAGUCAAGGCCUUCCCCUAACACUGACCACAAGUCCCACAGUAACCCUGGCAGCUCCUGCUUCUCCUGAAUAGAUCAUUGUUCAUGCUUUAUCCCCGGAACAUUUGUUGAACACAAGUGACAAUGUCACAGUACAGUGUCACACACCAAGAGUCAUCAUUCAAACUGUUGCUACAGAGGACAUCGCUUCUUCAAUAUCCCAAGCAGAACUGACAGCUGAUAGUGAUUUUCAUUCAUCUGAUUUUCCUGAGCCUCCAGAUGCACUAGAAGCAGACACUUUCCCAGAUGAAAUUCCUCGGCCUAAGAUGACUAUACAACCAUCAUUUAAUAAUGCUCAUGUGUCUAAAUACAGUGACCAAAAUAGCACAGAACUGAUGAAUAGUGUCAUGGUCAGAACAGAGGAAGAAAUUGCUGACACUGACCUUAAGCAAGAACAGCCUUCCGACUUAGCCAGUGCUUAUGUUACUGAGGAUUUAGAGUCUCCUACCAUAGUACACCAAGUUCAUCAGACAAUUGAUGAUGAGACAAUACUUAUCGUUCCUUCACCACAUGGCUUUAUCCAGGCAUCUGAUGGUAUAGACGCUGAGUCUGUCUUGCCUUUGACAACACUAACAGAUCCCAUAUUUCAACAUCAUCAGGAAGAAUCUAAUAUAAUUGGAUCAUCUUUGGGCAGUCCUGUUUCUGAGGACUCAAAGGAUGUUGAGGACUUGGUAAACUGUCACUAGAUUGUUAGAAGCAGGUACUUCAGGAAGCCACAUUGUUGACUACAUUGUCUCCAAAGAAAGGAGCCAUCCCAAGAGUCCUGGUCUGCCAUUCCUCUGGCCUGUGCAUAGCUGCUGUGCUUAAGCCAUGCACAUCGUUGCUGCUGUUACCUUCUACCUCCUUUUAAGUAGAUCAUCUGAGGUCCAAUUUUAUAAGUGUGUUAUGAUGGAGGACAGGAAGUGUGAGCUGCCCAGACUUGUUAAGUUUUGUGUCAAGAGGGAGUUGCAGUCACUGCAGCUACUUCUGUCACCAAAGCUUAACUCCUCUGGUUUACUUCUAAACAGUAAUACCCAUCUCUGCGGUGGACACUGAGCUCUGCCCAGACUCAGGCCGGUCUGCUUACAAUUCAGGUUAUAUUAGCAACAAGGUCCAGCUCACCUUAGCAGUGACUUUCAGAAAGACUAACUUAGGAGUUUAUGACAUGACCAGCAUCCAGGUCCAAGAUCAUGGGAGGUGGCUGUGAUGGUUAACCCAUUGCUGGCAGUGGGAGCUGACUGAGGCAGGGUAAAGGACAAAGCAGAGAAUCAAGAAAAUUCACUACAGGUCUUUGGUUUUUAACUUUUAAAGGGAAUGUGGGUAAAGUGGUAACACAAUGCACUGGUAACCAAGCAGUUAUCACCCUCAUCAGAAACCAGUCCUUAGUUUACAGUUAGCACUUUGAAGUGAGAUUAAAUGAAGGGAGGUAAUAUUGCCUGUAUUUGAUAACCAUGACUUUUUUUUAUUACACGUUUUACUAUAUAAAUUGCCCAGAAGAUAGUUGAGGGGUAUUAGAGUAUGCUGUUCACUUAGUGCAUUACCUGGUGGGGGUACAGUAUAGCUUCUCCCUCAGGCACUUUUAAAAAACAAAGUUUGCUUCUGUAUCAAAAGAAAACAAAUCAACAGUCAUUCCUAAGGUAAAGCCAAAAGUAGCCUCUAGG